rnacentral:rRNA from 1 species
UAGGAAUUUGUGCCAGCAGCCGCGGUAAUACGUAGGGCGCAAGCGUUAUCCGGAUUUAUUGGGCGUAAAGGGCUCGUAGGCGGCUCGUCGCGUCCGGUGUGAAAGUCCAUCGCUUAACGGUGGAUCUGCGCCGGGUACGGGCGGGCUGGAGUGCGGUAGGGGAGACUGGAAUUCCCGGUGUAACGGUGGAAUGUGUAGAUAUCGGGAAGAACACCGAUGGCGAAGGCAGGUCUCUGGGCCGUCACUGACGCUGAGGAGCGAAAGCGUGGGGAGCGAACAGG